UGGGGAAUCUUGGACAAUGGGCGCAAGCCUGAUCCAGCCAUGCCGCGUGAGUGACGAAGGUCUUCGGAUUGUAAAGCUCUUUUGCCAGGGACGAUAAUGACGGUACCUGGAGAAUAAGCCCCGGCUAACUUCGUGCCAGCAGCCGCGGUAAUACGAAGGGGGCUAGCGUUGUUCGGAAUUACUGGGCGUAAAGCGCACGUAGGCGGGUCUAUAAGUCAGGGGUGAAAUCCCGGGGCUCAACCUCGGAACUGCCUUUGAUACUGUGGAUCUCGAGUCCGAUAGAGGUGAGUGGAAUUCCUAGUGUAGAGGUGAAAUUCGUAGAUAUUAGGAAGAACACCAGUGGCGAAGGCGGCUCACUGGAUCGGUACUGACGCUGAGGUGCGAAAGCGUGGGGAGCAAA
rnacentral:rRNA from 1 species